AUCAAAUUCAUGAAAGCUUAGGGCGGAUACCUAGGCACCCAGAGACGAUGAAGGGCGUGGAUACCUACGAAAAGCUUCGAGGAGCUGGAAACAAGCUGAGAUUCGAAGAUCCCCGAAUAGGGCAACCUCUUAUUUUUUCUUUUGAAUUCAUAGAAAGAAAAAAGGUAACCCGGUGAAUUGAAACAUCUUAGUAGCCGGAGGAAAAGAAAGCAAACGCGAUUCCCUUAGUAGCGGCGAGCGAAAAGGGAACAGCCUAAACUAGUUAGAGUUUUCUAAUUAGGGUAGUGGGAGCAACUUUUUAGAAGCUUAGAAACCUAACGGUCAUAAAGCAACUGCUACUUUGUAGCGGCAAUCUUCUAAAAAAAGAACUGAAAAAUAAUUGACUAAGGGUAGCGAUAGCAACCGUGCUUCGCGCGGCCUUAAAAGGGUAGCUUUGCUACAACCUAAGUUUUUUGUUUUUGGUUUCAAGAUACUAUUUUUCGAGACGAAGCAGCUGAAUCCUGCACCAAAGACGGUGAAAGUCCUGUAGUUGAAUGUCAAAUAUAUUCUUUUUGUUGUUUCCCGAGUAGCAUGGGGCACGUGAAAUCCCGUGUGAAUCAGCGAGGACCACCUCGUAAGGCUAAAUACUCCUGGGUGACCGAUAGUGAAGUAGUACCGUGAGGGAAAGGUGAAAAAGAACCCCUGGAGGGGAGUGAAAAAGAACAUGAAACCCUAAGCUGACAAGCAGUGGGAGGAUUUUAAAGUCUGACCGCGUGCCUGUUGAAGAAUGAGCCGGCGACUCCUAAGAAGUGGCUAGGUUAAGGGGUUUUACCCGAAGCCAAAGCGAAAGCGAGUCUGAAUAGGGCGAAAUUGUCACUUUUUAGGGACCCGAACCCGGGUGAUCUAACCAUGGCCAGGAUGAAGCUUGGGUAAAACCAAGUGGAGGUCCGAACCGACCGAUGUUGAAAAAUCGGCGGAUGAGCUGUGGUUAGGGGUGAAAUGCCAAUCGAACUCGGAGCUAGCUGGUUCUCCCCGAAAUGCGUUGAGGCGCAGCGGUUGACGACGGGCUGACUAGGGGUAAAGCACUGUUUCGGUGCGGGCUGCGAGAGUGGUACCAAAUCGUAGCAAACUAAGAAUACUAGGCAUUGCUUACCGUCAACCAGUGAGACAGUGGGGGAUAAGCUUCAUUGUCAAGAGGGAAACAGCCCAGAUCAUCAGCUAAGGCCCCAGAAUGGUCGCUAAGUGGUAAAGGAGGUGAGACUGCAGAAACAGCCAGGAGGUUUGCUUAGAAGCAGCCACCCUUUAAAGAGUGCGUAAUAGCUCACUGGUGGAGCGGUUUUGCGCCGAAAAUUUACGGGACUAAGCGGCCUGCCGAAGCUAUGGGAUUCAUACAAUUCAAAUAGACCCUAAAGGGGUACUUUGUUCAAUGUAUUAAUCGGUAGGGGAGCGUUCCGCUCUAGGGUGAAGCAUAAACGAAAGUUAUUGUGGACAAAGCGGAAGUGAGAAUGUCGGCUUGAGUAACGCAAACAUUGGUGAGAAUCCAAUGCCCCGAAAACCUAAGGGUUCCUUCACUAGGUUCGUCCAUGGAGGGUUAGUCAGGACCUAAGGCCAGGCCGAAAGGCGUAGUCGAUGGAAAAUAGGUAAACAUUCCUAUACUUUUUUUUAGUUGGUAACGGGGGACGAAGUCGGCUUAAGUGAGCCUUUAUUGGAUUUUGGUGGAAACGUUCGAGAUGUUGAAAGGUAGAAAAAAAGCUAUCCUUGAGUUAAGACGUGUUACGUUUUGAGUGGAGAAAGGAUUUAUUCUUUUAAAGUUUGAAAUUCACUUAUGAGUCAUACUUCCUAGAAAAGCCCGCACUACUUUUACACUAAAAAAGACCUGUACCUUAAACCGACACAGGUAGGUAAGUAGAGUAUACUAAGGGGCGCGAGAUAACUCUCUCUAAGGAACUCGGCAAAAUGGCCCCGUAACUUCGGGAGAAGGGGUACCCUUUUAAAAGAGGGUCGCAGUGACCAGGCCCAGGCGACUGUUUACCAAAAACACAGGUCUCCGCAAAGUCGUAAGACAAUAUAUGGGGGCUGACGCCUGCCCAGUGCCGGAAGGUGAAGGAAGUUGGUUAUCCCUUUUUUGGGAAAAGCUGACGACCGAAGCCCCGGUGAACGGCGGCCGUAACUAUAACGGUCCUAAGGUAGCGAAAUUCCUUGUCGGGUAAGUUCCGACCCGCACGAAAGGCGUAACGAUCUGGGCACUGUCUCGGAGAGAGACUCGGUGAAAUAGACAUGUCCGUGAAGAUGCGGACUUCCUGCACCUGGACAGAAAGACCCUAUGAAGCUUUACUGUAGCCUGGAAUUGGGUUUGGGCUUUUCUUGCGCAGUUUAGGUGGGAGGCUUUGAAGAUUCUUUGCGGAGAAUUGGAGCCAACAGUGAGAUACCACUCUAGAAAGGCUAGAAUCCUAAUGGCGUCCCUUGAAUCAGGGCGCUCGACAGUUUCAGGUGGGCAGUUUGACUGGGGCGGUCACCUCCUAAAAGGUAACGGAGGUGUGCAAAGGUUCCCUCAGGCUGGACGGAAAUCAGCCUAAGAGUGUAAAGGCAGAAGGGAGCUUGACUGCAAGACUUACAAGUCAAGCAGGGGCGAAAGCCGGCCUUAGUGAUCCGACGGUACCCUGUGGAAGGGCCGUCGCUCAACGGAUAAAAGUUACUCUAGGGAUAACAGGCUGAUCUUCCCCAAGAGUUCACAUCGACGGGAAGGUUUGGCACCUCGAUGUCGGCUCAUCGCAACCUGGGGCGGUAGGACGUCCCAAGGGUUGGGCUGUUCGCCCAUGAAAGCGGUACGUGAGCUGGGUUCAGAACGUCGUGAGACAGUUCGGUCCAUAUCCGGUGUAGGCGUUAGAGCAUUGAGAGGAGCCUUCCAUUGUACGAGAGGACCCGGAAGGACGCACCACUAGUAUACCAGUUCUUGUGCCAACGGGAAACGCUGGGUAGCCAAGUGCGGAGUGGAUAACUGCUGAAAGCAUCUAAGUAGGAAGCCCACCUCAAGAUGAGUGCUCUCCUGAGGUCACGGUUAGACAAACCGUUUGAUAGGUGUCAAGUGUAAGGCUAGCAAUGGUUUCAGCUAAGACAUACUAACAGACCGAGUGGUUUUGAU
rnacentral:rRNA from 1 species